AGAACAAUGGGCUGUUCGUACCAUACUGGAAAAUCGCCUAUACGUUUGUUGCCCAGGGAAUAGUGUUUGUUAUGUCCAAAUACCCCAUUAGUCGCGAAAUACCCAAACUCUUUUAAUAACUACGAACUAUUAUGGUUUUGCACUACGGGAGAAGUGAUGGUAAAUUGCAGCUUUCCACGCACAUUUUAAAUGAAAAUGUCGGAACGAUAAUGGACCGGGUAUAAACCGUAUCCGCUUUGUUCCGACGUGCCAUAAUUGGUGACGAAUUUAUGACAAUACACUUCAAGGGAAUUAGUUUUGUAAGUGAUUAGUGAGCAAUAACAAUGUAUAUUCAUUUCGUAGCAGUUGGACCUUUCUGUUCUCGUGUCACUAAAAUAGACUGCAGAUUUUUAAUAAGGAAUUACGACCGACCUCGUGAUGUCGUGCUUAAGUCAUUGGAUACAAGGCUGAAGCUUCCUUUGAUUAAACUUAAGGCGUUGUUGGAGUGGGCUUGUUGUUGUUGUUGCAGGUUGUAAGAAACAGAGGCCCCUGCUGGUUCGAACUCCAGGCCCAGUGUCGUCAGAUCUGACGGGUUUACCGGAACAAUUCAGUUAAAUCGUGAUCGCUGUGCCAAUUUACGCCAUGCACACACAAUAGUUAUAUUUGAACUUGUCAUCAAUCAUGUUUAGCCUUUGUUGUAAUUUCAGAAAUUUCAUUAUUUUCUUUUUCUUUUUCUUUUUUUUUUUCUUCUUUUUUUUCUGUUAUUUUUUUCGUAAUGUUUUAAUGGUCAAACUGACACAGAGUUUUCUGAAAUAUAUUGGUUAUAAUAUCUUCUGUAUUUGAUAGUGUGUAUGUGGGUGCGUGCGUACGUGUAUGUUAGUUUGUGUAUGUGUAUAUGUUUGCGUGUACGUUAUUUUGCGUACAUUUGAUCAUGUGUAUUUGUACCUGGGUGUGCUUACGUAAUUAAAUGUGUGCGUACGUGUGUGUGUGUAAUUUUUUGUAUUUUUUUGCCUUAAGAAAACAUACCCUGAAAAGGACAACCCCUGUUGUCCAGCUCUUUC